CCUACGGGAGGCAGCAGUGAGGAAUAUUGGUCAAUGGACGAGAGUCUGAACCAGCCACGUAGCGUGAAGGAUGACUGCCCUAUGCGUUGUAAACUUCUUUUAUAAAGGAAUAAAACGAGGCACGUGUGCCUUUUUGCAGGUACUUUAUGGAUAAGGAUCGGCUAAUUCCGUGACAGCAGCCGCGGUAAUACGGAGGAUCCGAGCGUUAUCCGGAUUUAGUGGGUUUUAAGGGCGCGUAGAUGGGUUGUUAAGGCAGUUGUGAAAGUUUGCGGCUCAACCGGAAAAGUGCAAUUGAUACUGGCUGUCUGGAGUACAGUUGAGGUAAGCGGAAUUCGUGGUGUAGCGGUGAAAUGCGUAGAUAUCACGAAGAACCCCGAUUGCGAAGGCAGCUUACUAAACUGUGACUGACAUUGAUGCUCGAAAGUGUGGGUAUCAAACAGGAUUAGAUACCCUAGUAGUC
rnacentral:rRNA from 1 species